rnacentral:rRNA from 1 species
GUAGGGAAUCUUGCGCAAUGGGCGAAAGCCUGACGCAGCCAUGCCGCGUGAAUGAUGAAGGUCUUAGGAUUGUAAAAUUCUUUCACCGGGGACGAUAAUGACGGUACCCGGAGAAGAAGCCCCGGCUAACUUCGUGCCAGCAGCCGCGGUAAUACGAAGGGGGCUAGCGUUGCUCGGAAUUACUGGGCGUAAAGGGAGCGUAGGCGGAUAGUUUAGUCAGAGGUGAAAGCCCAGGGCUCAACCUUGGAAUUGCCUUUGAUACUGGCUAUCUUGAGUAUGGAAGAGGUAUGUGGAACUCCGAGUGUAGAGGUGAAAUUCGUAGAUAUUCGGAAGAACACCAGUGGCGAAGGCGACAUACUGGUCCAUUACUGACGCUGAGGCUCGAAAGCGUGGGGAGCAAACAGGAUUAGAUACCCUAGUAGUC